GCAUGAGGGCCAGCGGGCUGCAGCAGCGCCUGCUUCACUGGGGAGGCAGCAGAGCACCAGGUCGUCGCGAUGGCGAGCUGGUUUUUCGGGAACGGUGAAGCAGGGAAGCAGGACCACAGGGAGGAAAAGGCCAGAAGGAGGGAGAAGGGCUGAGCAGACCCUACAGGGAAACCCCCGUCCCUCCAAGAGGAGGAUCUGCAAGAGAGAGAAGAAUGAACUGUAUUCAGUUUUGAGCCCCUUAUGACAAAAAACUCACUGAAGAGCUGAAGUGUCCAGAGAAGGAGGACAAGGAGUGGCUGAGGGAGCUGGGGCAGCUCAGCCUGGAGAAAAGGAGACUCAGGAGGGACCUUCUCACUCUCUAUAACUCCCUGAAAGGAGGUCCAAGCCAGGUGUGAGUUGGUUUUUUCUCCUAUGUAAAAAGUAACAGGAUAAGAUGAAAUAGCCUCAGGUUGUGCCAGGAGAGGUUUACAUUGGAUAUUGGGAAAAAUUUCUUCACUGUGAAGGUUAUUAAGCACUGGCAUAGGCUGCCCAAGGCAGGGAUGGUGGAGUCACCAUCCCUGGGGAGGUUUAAAAGAUUUGUGAAUGUGGUACUCGAGGACAUGGGUUAGUGGUGAACAUGGUGGUGGUGCUAGUUGAUAUUGAUGAUCCUAGAGGGCUUUUCCAGCCUAAAUGAUUCUAUGGUUCUAUAUUCCAUGAAUUCAGUUCUCCAGUUCUGUGGUGGGAGAACAGAGUACUGGGAACUGACUGAUGUGGCAGUAUGAAGUGAUGGGUGG
rnacentral:lncRNA from 1 species